rnacentral:rRNA from 1 species
CCCACGGGUGGCUGCAGUGGGGAAUAUUGGACAAUGGGCGAAAGCCUGAUCCAGCCAUGCCGCGUGUGUGAAGAAGGCCUUCGGGUUGUAAAGCACUUUCAGUGGGGAAGAAAGCCUUGGGGCUAAUACCCUCGAGGAAGGACAUCACCCACAGAAGAAGCACCGGCUAACUCCGUGCCAGCAGCCGCGGUAAUACGGAGGGUGCGAGCGUUAAUCGGAAUUACUGGGCGUAAAGCGCGCGUAGGCGGUCUGAUAAGCCGGUUGUGAAAGCCCCGGGCUCAACCUGGGAACGGCAUCCGGAACUGUCAGGCUAGAGUGCAGGAGAGGAAGGUAGAAUUCCCGGUGUAGCGGUGAAAUGCGUAGAGAUCGGGAGGAAUACCAGUGGCGAAGGCGGCCUUCUGGACUGACACUGACGCUGAGGUGCGAAAGCGUGGGUAGCAAACAGGAUUAGAUACCCUAGUAGUC